GACCGCAUGGCCUAAUGGAUUUGGCGUCUGACUUCGAAUCAGAAGAUUGAGGGUUCGAGUCCCUCUGUGGUCU
rfam:Ciona savignyi cont_33949, whole genome shotgun sequence.